rnacentral:rRNA from 1 species
UGGGGAAUAUUGCACAAUGGGCGAAAGCCUGAUGCAGCAACGCCGCGUGAGUGAUGAAGGCCUUCGGGUUGUAAAGCUCUGUCUUUUGGGACGAUAAUGACGGUACCAAAGGAGGAAGCCACGGCUAACUACGUGCCAGCAGCCGCGGUAAUACGUAGGUGGCAAGCGUUGUCCGGAUUUACUGGGCGUAAAGGAUGCGUAGGCGGAUUUUUAAGUGAGAUGUGAAAACCCUAAGCUUAACUUGGGGACUGCAUUUCAUACUGGAAAUCUAGAGUGCGGGAGAGGAGAAUGGAAUUCCUAGUGUAGCGGUGAAAUGCGUAGAGAUUAGGAAGAACACCAGUGGCGAAGGCGAUUCUCUGGACCGUAACUGACGCUGAGGCAUGAAAAGCGUGGGUAGCAAACAGGAUUAGAUACCCUGGUAGUCCACGCCGUAAACGAUGAGUACUAGGUGUAGGAGGUAUCGACCCCUUCUGUGCCGCAGUUAAACACAAUAAGUACUCCGCCUGGGAAGUACGAUCGCAAGAUUAAAAA